rnacentral:rRNA from 1 species
UACGUAGGGGGCAAGCGUUGUCCGGAUUUAUUGGGCGUAAAGAGCGUGUAGGCGGCCUUACAGGUCAGCUGUGAAAACUCGAGGCUCAACCUCGAGACGUCGGUUGAAACCGUAUGGCUAGAGUCCGGAAGAGGAGAGUGGAAUUCCCGGUGUAGCGGUGAAAUGCGCAGAUAUCGGGAGGAACACCGGUGGCGAAGGCGGAUCUCUGGGCCAUUACUGACGCUGAGGAGCGAAAGCGUGGGGAGCGAACAGG